GACGAACGCUGGCGGCGUGCCUAAUACAUGCAAGUUGAGCGCUGAAGGUUGGUACUUGUACCAACUGGAUGAGCAGCGAACGGGUGAGUAACGCGUGGGGAAUCUGCCUUUGAGCGGGGGACAACAUUUGGAAACGAAUGCUAAUACCGCAUAAAAACUUUAAACACAAGUUUUAAGUUUGAAAGAUGCAAUUGCAUCACUCAAAGAUGAUCCCGCGUUGUAUUAGCUAGUUGGUGAGGUAAAGGCUCACCAAGGCGAUGAUACAUAGCCGACCUGAGAGGGUGAUCGGCCACAUUGGGACUGUGACACGGCCCAAACGCCUACGGGAGGCAGCAGUAGGGAAUCUUCGGCAAUGGACGAAAGUCUGACCGAGCAACGCCGCGUGAGGGAAGAAGGGUGUCGGAUCGUAAAACUCUGUUGGUAGAGAAGAACGUUGGUGAGAGUGGAAAGCUCAUCAAGUGACGGUAACUACUCAGAAAGGGACGGCUAACUACGUG
rnacentral:rRNA from 1 species